UACGUAGGGUGCAAGCGUUGUCCGGAAUUAUUGGGCGUAAAGAGCUCGUAGGCGGUUUGUCGCGUCUGCUGUGAAAACGCGAGGCUCAACCUCGCGCCUGCAGUGGGUACGGGCAGACUGGAGUGCGGUAGGGGAGAUUGGAAUUCCUGGUGGUAGCGGUGGAAUGCGCAGAGUAUCAGGAGGAACACCGAUGGCGAAGGCAGAUCUCCUGGGCCGAACUGACGCUGAGGAGCGAAGACGUGGGGAGCGAACAG
rnacentral:rRNA from 1 species